rnacentral:misc_RNA from 1 species
GGAAGUUAGUUCCGUCUUCUCCCUUGGAUUCAAUCCUUCUCCAACCCUUAUACAGGCUAACAGCUUCGUAAGAUGAUACACCAAGGGCAACCGGGAUCUGCAACAGAUUCACCACCCAAUAUAGUGGUGUACAAUUGUCUGUAUAAUUCUUGCCGAUUUGCAGUCCUAGAAAUGCAACCCAAACAAAAGACAGGAGUCCAGUUUCCUUCCAGCAAACAUUCUCCAUGAUAGGCACCUCAGGUUCGGAAACUUCUGUUUUUUUCUUUUCAGCAUCGUUGGCAUCACCAGGAAGGAGCUUAUACUCUGCGUCAUUUGCGCCUGACUUUUUCGCAGCCUCAGUCUCCUUUUUCAGGAUAGUCU